GUGCGAACUGGGAACAGCAUCCACUACGUGUUGGUGCCAGUCUCACCUCAGCAGAAAUUGGGAUUUUGCCAAAGGAUGACCUCUAUUGCAAGAUUCCUGAAUGGGGUGUGAAUAUGGAACUGCAGCUGGGAGGCCUGAAGGCGGUAGGAGCCCAGCCACCAGGAUUUCAUCCCAGCCUGAGCAGCAGGCUGUCAAAGAAGUCCAGAGGAAUGAAGUCCAAAACUGGUAUGAGGGACCCAUACCAAGCACUCUGCUGUCCAUAGUGCAUGGCUUCUAGGUUGUUCAUCGUCUAAUAUAGCUGCUGAAAAUCCAGCCAGCACAUGUGUGAUUCCAGGCAGGAAUCAGGAGUAAGCUGGGAAGAACAAAGAGAGGAGCAAUCUCCAGCUGCCUGUCCUCUUUUAGGGAGUUUUUCUGUGCACUGCUUCU